rnacentral:piRNA from 1 species
UAGACAAAGUCAAGGGUGUUUCAAUACAUU